CAAAAGUUUUAUUUUGGCUUAAAAUUUAUAGUUACAUUUAAUUUUACAUGUAAGUAUUUGUGAAAAUUAAUAAGAAUUUAAAAAAUAAUUAUUUAAUUUUUAUUUGCAGUUUAAAAUCUUAUAUAUUAAGUGAUCUUAGAUUUAGUAAAUAUUAUAGUUUUAACAAAAUUUGUGCCAGCAGUUGCGGUUAUACAAAUAAUGCAAUAUAAAUAUAUUGGAAUUAGUUAAUUUUUAAAAAUAUAUUAUUAUUAAUAAUAAAUUUUAAGGUGAAAUUUUAAUUUAUUUUAAAUAUAUAUUUAUAUUAAUGAAGCUAAGAAAUUUAAUUUUAAACUAGGAUUAGAUACCCUAUUAUUUUUUAUGUAAUUAUAUUUCCUAAUUAUUAAUAGAUAUGAACUUUAAAAUUAAAAAUUUUGGCGGUAUUUUAGUCUUUUCAGAGGAACCUGUUCUAUAAUCGACAACCCACGAUUUAAUGUACUUAAUUUAAUUAACUUAUAUAUCGUCGUAGUUGAAUAUUUUAUAAGAAUAUAAUAUUCAAAAUUUUAAAUUUAAAAAUAAAUCAGAUCAAGGUGUAGUUUAUAGUUAAGAAGUAAUGGGUUACAAUAAAUUUAUUUAAACAGUUUAUAUAAUUUAAAUUAUAUUUUAAGGUGGAUUUGAAAGUAAUAAAAUAUAAUUAUUUUUUAUGAUUUUGGCUCUAAAAUAUGCACAUAUCGCCCGUCGCUUUCAUUUAAAAUGGAAUAAGUCGUAACAAAGUAAAUAUACUGGAAAGUGUAUUUAGAAGAUU
rnacentral:ncRNA from 1 species